GAGUGUUACAGCUCUUUUAGAAUUUGUCUAGCAGUUUUUAUGUUUUUUUUCCCGGAAAACCCAC